rfam:Felis catus isolate Cinnamon breed Abyssinian chromosome C1, whole genome shotgun sequence.
GCCUGGGUAGCUCAGUUGGUUGAGCAUCUGACUUCAGCUCAAGUCAUGAUCUUGCAGUUUAUGAGUUCAAGCCUCACAUCAGGCU